UAUGAACAUAGAUCCUUUUCUCCCUUUACCUUUGGGAAGACUAUACAUACAAGAAAGUUGUAAGUAUUGUUUCCGUCGGCUUUGACAUCAAUCCAAGGCGGAGGAGAUAUGAGACGCCGACCUGGAAUUGGUGGAUUGCAGACUGCUGCAGCUGCUAGGGAUCAAUACAGAUUACUAGGAGAAAAUGUAGCAAAACUAAGAACAGAUUUGAUGAAAGAGCAGCUCUCCACCUUCCGCUCCCAAUUAGAAGACUUCGCUCGCAAACACAAGAAUGAUAUUCGUAAGAACCCCGCGUUUCGGUCUCAAUUCCAUGAGAUGUGUGCUAAAGUUGGUGUUGAUCCUCUUGCCUCUAAUAAGGGUUUCUGGGCUGAGCUUCUCGGCAUUGGUGACUUCUAUUAUGAACUCGGAGUGCAAAUUGUUGAUAUAUGCCUGGCUACUAGAGCUCAUAAUGGAGGUCUGAUCAAGUUGGAGGAACUCUGUAAAAUUCUAUGCCAAAGACGGAAAGGUGCUCGUGAAGCUGUCUCCGAAGAUGACUGUUUACGUGCUAUAAGUAAACUGAAGGUAUUAGGCAGUGGUUUUGAGGUGAUUUCUGUUGGAAAAAGAAAGCUUGUCCGAUCUGUUCCUACUGAACUGAACAAGGACCACAAUGAAAUUUUAGAGAUGGCUCAGGUUUUCAUAACCAUCACAAUCACCAUGAUUGUUUUACUAUGCUCAGGGAUUUGUUACUGUUGAAGAGGUAGAGAGACGGCUAUCCUGGUCAUCUGGCCGUGCGAUCGAUGCCCUCGAAACUUUAUUGGAUGAGGGCCUUGCCAUGAUAGAUGAUGGCCACCGAGAUGGACGACGCCGAUACUGGUUCCCCUGUGUAUCGUCCAUAUCUUCAUAUGUUGGAGCUGAAACAAUAUAAGAUCUGGUCAUACUGUCAGUUACAAACAAGAUGAAUAAUGUAUUUAUUUUUAAUAUAAAAUAUAUGAAAGUUGUCAUAGUAAGAGCUAUGAAUUUUGAUACAAUAUUAGUAUAAUCUUGUUGCUUAUUU